UGGGAUGGCGUCAAGUCAGCAUGGCCUUUAUGUCCUGGGCUACACACACGCUACAAUGGCCGGUACAAUAGGUUGCGAAGCCGCGAGGCGGAGCCAAAUCCUCAAAAGCCGGCCUCAGUUCAGAUUGCAGGCUGCAACCCGCCUGCAUGAAGAUGGAGUUGCUAGUAACCGCAGGUCAGCUAUACUGCGGUGAAUACGUUCCCGGGGCUU
rnacentral:rRNA from 1 species